AGUGAACGCUGGCGGUAGGCCUAACACAUGCAAGUCGAACGGCAGCACAGUAAGAGCUUGCUCUUACGGGUGGCGAGUGGCGGACGGGUGAGGAAUACAUCGGAAUCUACUUUUUCGUGGGGGAUAACGUAGGGAAACUUACGCUAAUACCGCAUACGACCUACGGGUGAAAGCAGGGGAUCUUCGGACCUUGCGCGAUUGAAUGAGCCGAUGUCGGAUUAGCUAGUUGGCGGGGUAAAGGCCCACCAAGGCGACGAUCCGUAGCUGGUCUGAGAGGAUGAUCAGCCACACUGGAACUGAGACACGGUCCAGACUCCUACGGGAGGCAGCAGUGGGGAAUAUUGGACAAUGGGCGCAAGCCUGAUCCAGCCAUGCCGCGUGGGUGAAGAAGGCCUUCGGGUUGUAAAGCACUUUUGUUGGGAAAGAAAAGCAGCAGGUUAAUACCCCGCUGUUCUGACGGUACCCAAAGAAUAAGCACCGGCUAACUUCGUG
rnacentral:rRNA from 1 species